UGUCAACCUGUUUUAUUGACUCAUUCAAACAAAACAAAAACAGAAACAUAAUAAAAUCCCUCCUUCAAGUUUUAAGCUUUAAGAUAAAAGUUGUGCAAAGAAGAAAAAGACGAGCGUCGAUAUGAAAGAGAAGAAACACAAAGAUGUUAUUAUUAUUACAGAUAUGUCUUUAAACGUCAUGUCUUUAAACUUUUUGUUCUUUUUGUCUUUAAAUCAAAUAAAAAUAAAAUUUGUUCGUUAACGACUUUUUCCUGUUUGUGCUUCGACCAUCAGCUGAGUGUAAACGUCACAUUUAAUCAUUAACAUCAAGAAUUAAAUUAUUAUUAAUCCCUCACAGCAUUCAAACAAUAUUAAAACAAAUAUUAAAACAUUAUUAUCUGGAAUUGGAGCUUUUUGUUUCGUCAAACUUGCAGAAAUUUGGAGAAAAACUGUCAGAAAAUGUUUUUUAUUCACAUUAAACGCAUUUUAUAAUCAUAUAUUUAAUAUUUUACAGAGUUUUAGGAUUUUUACUCUUAGUUUUUAUGGAUAAAUGUUUUAUUUUCACAUCGUUUUAUAACCAAAUUAAUUAAAUAUCUUUCUAAUAAUCUGCUUUAAACUCAUUUAUAUCUAAUUAAUUAAAGAAAUUAAAGCUUUUUAUUGGAACUUUUGGAGCAUUUAUAUUAUUUUUAUGCUUUUUAAAAGUUAGUUUUGUUUCUAUAUGUUUGAGUUUUUAUGUUAAUUUAAAUCUAAUUUGUUGGUUUUUUUGGUGAAUUUAGUAGAAAAGUGUCGUUUUGUGAUUAAAUAAAACCAAAAUAAUUCAACUGCUUUCUAAUAAUCUCCAAAAUUAAAGUUUUUAUUAACAGUUUAAAUGUUAAUAACACUUAGUUUGAAGCUUUUUAUUCUUAGUUUUGUUUCGUUUGUCUCGUUUUAUGACACAAUAAAUAAUUAAAUCUCUUUUCUAUUAAUCUCUAAAACCAUAUUAUUUGUUUUCUGACUGAUUUCCUCUGCAGGUGUUUGACUUUCAGCUCGCUCACAUUAAAGAAAACACAUUUAAUCAUUUUAAGACUUUUAACUUUCAAACUGCUUUAAAACUAUAAAACUGUUUAAUGUGAGCCGCAGACGUUAAAGCUGAAGGAAUGAUGAAAGCACGAGGUUUCAUAUUUAACUCAUCAUCUACCAAAACCCAACAGCCAGAGAUCCAGAGUUAUAGAUUAUUAAUAACCCUCCUGUUGUCCUCAGGUCAAGGAAGGAAGGAAGGAAGGAAGGAAGGAAAGAAAGGAGUAAGGAAGGAAAGGAGAAGGAAGGAAGGAAGGGAGGAAGGGAGGAAGGAAAGAAGGAACAGUCGAAAGAGACGGGGUGAAUUUGACCCGGGAGGACGACAGGAAGAUUUAAGAGUUUUAGUUCACAGAUUUUAAACCGUGUGAUCCCUCUCUGGUAAGAUCUCUGACUGUCGGCUGGUCCAGCAGUCAAACCUCGUUGGUCACGUUAAGAAAAGUAAAAGCGACUCAAACGUUUCACCCGAGAAAAAAAAACUACUAAAAACUUUUUCUUUCUAAGUUCAAGUAUCGAAAAAAAGC